rnacentral:lncRNA from 1 species
UCAGAACAGAUAACUGCAUAAUAUAAUCGAAGUACUAUUCGUCAAGAAAUGGAAAUAUUUUUCAACAUCAUUUGUGUAUCGUUAAUGUUUCAAUAUGGCAAGUUUUUUUAACUGAUAAAUCAUAAAUAUACUGAUUUUACUAAAAUUUCAAGUUAACAGUAUUCUGUUUUAUUUAAACCGUUUUUUUUUUUUUUUCAAAAGUUAUAAUUUUCGAAGGGUUAUAUAUUUUGCAGUGGUGUCUUGCCAUGGCUUUGCUUGGACUUGUUUGUUUGCUUUUUGGCCUUGAAUGUUUGUCCCUUAUAUUUUAUUAACUGUGCAUUUGCAUUCAGAUAUCUCAGAUCAAAUUUAUUCGUUCAAAGUGUAUUAAUUUACGUUUUUUGAUUGAGUUAAUCCUAUUGAUAUUUCAUCGUGUGUUUUUCUAUGUUGUGAUGGUAUGCUAUUGUUUCAGAAAAAGGGAGAAGGUUUGGUACCAUUAAAACGUUUAAUCCCGCUGCAAAUGUUUGCACCUGCCCUAAGUCAGGAAUCUGAUGUACAGUAGUUGUCGUUUGUUUAUGUAAUUUAUACGUGCUUCUCGUUUCUCGUUUUUUUAUAUAGAUUAGACCGUUGGUUUUCCCGUUUCAAUGGUUUUACACUAAAAAUGUUGGGUCCCUUUAUAGCUAAUUGUUCGGUGUGAGCCAAGGCUCCGUGUUGAAGGCCGUACAUUGACCUAUAAUGGUUUACUUUUUUAAAUUGUUAUUUGGAUGGAGAGUUGUCUCAUUGGCACUCACACCACAUCUUCCUAUAUCUAUUAAAAAGAAAAAAAAAUUCUACAUAUUAAUUUGUACGCCAUACUUCCUUAUAUAAAAUUGAUAAAAUUCUAGUAACAUUACCAGAAACUUUCAACAAUUUUGCUUGCAGCGUUUGGAAUCUGUGCUUUUCCGUGUUGGCAGCAGAACCGAGGAUUUGCAAGAAUAAAUGAGGACGGCAGUGACUUUUUUGUCGGCGCAGUCAGUAAAACUAACAGAACUACACUAGAAGUGUCGGUCAACGGUUCAUCUGUAUUUACACAGGAAU